rnacentral:rRNA from 1 species
GCAUAUCAAUAAGCGGAGGAAAAGAAACCAACAGGGAUUGCCCUAGUAACGGCGAGUGAAGCGGCAACAGCUCAAAUUUGAAAUCUGGCCUCCCCGCGGGGGUCCGAGUUGUAAUUUGCAGAGGGUGCUUCGGCGCAGGCCUUGGUCUAAGUCCUUUGGAACCAGGCGUCACAGAGGGUGACAACCCCGUACGUGGCCGACGGCCGGCGCCGUGUGAAGCCCCUUCGACGAGUCGAGUUGUUUGGGAAUGCAGCUCUAAAUGGGAGGUAUAUUUCUUCUAAAGCUAAAUACCGGCCAGAGACCGAUAGCGCACAAGUAGAGUGAUCGAAAGAUGAAAAGCACUUUGGAAAGAGAGUCAAAAAGCACGUGAAAUUGUUGAAAGGGAAGCGCUUGCAGCCAGACGUGCCCGCCGUUGCUCAUCCAAACGCCCGGUUUGGUGCACUCUUCGGCGGGCAGGCCAGCAUCAGUUGGGGCGGCCAGAGAAAGGCCCGGGGAACGUGGCUCGCUCCGGCGAGUGUUAUAGCCCCGGGUGGCCUGUGGCCAGCCCCGACUGAGGUCCGCGCUUCGGCUAGGAUGCUGGCGUAAUGGCGGCAAGCGGCCCGUCUUGAAACACGGACC